AUCAAUAACAAGAGUGCACACGCUGAAAUGUCUCGCCUUCUUUACUAAUCAUUGAUAUUAUGUUGAUAGUCCUAAAUAUAAAGCUUUAUUACAACUGUCACAUAAACUUAACAUUAACCAAGUAAACUAAACAUUGACCAUGGAACCAUGAAAAUGAGGUCAAGGUCAGAUGAACCAUGCUAGGCAGGCAUGUACAGCUAACAAUUCUUCCAUACAACAAAUAUAGUUGACCUAUUGCUUAUAGUUUAAGAAAAACAGACGAAAACACAAAAACUUAACACUGAGCAAUGAACCUUGAAAAUGAGGUCAAGGUCAAAUAAAACCUGCGUGACUGACAUAUAGAUCAUAAAAUAUUUCCAUACACCAAAUAUAGUUGAACUAUUGCAUAUAGUAUUAGAAAAAAAGACCAAAACUCAAAAACUUAACUUUGACAACUGAACCAUGAAAAUGAGGUCAAGGUCAGAUGACACCUGCCAGCUAGACAUGUACACCUUACAAUCAUUCCAUACACCAAAUAUAGUAGACCUAUUGCAUACAGUAUAAGAAAAACAGACCAAAACACAAAAACUUAACUAUAACCACUGAACCAUGAAAAUGAGGUCAAGGUCAGAUGACACCUGCCAGUUGGACAUGUACACCUUACAGUCCUUCCAUACACCGAAUAUACUAGACCUAUUGCUUAUAGUAUCUGAGAUAUGGACUUGACCACGAAAACUUAACCUUGUUCACUGAUCCAUGAAAUGAGGUCGAGGUCAAGUGAAAACUGUCUGACGGGCAUGAGGACCUUGCAAGGUACGCACAUACCAAAUAUAGUUAUCCUAUUACUUAUAAUAAGAGAGAAUUUAACAUUACAAAAAAUCUGAACUUUUUUUUCAAGCAGUCACUGAACCAUGAAAAUGAGGUCAAGGACAUUGGACAUGUGACUGACGGAAACUUCGUAACAUGAGGCAUCCAUGUACAAAGUAUGAAGCAUCCAGGUCUUCCACCUUCUAAAAUAUAAAGCUUUUAAGAAGUUAGCUAACGCCGCCGCCGCCGCCGCCGCCGCCGCCGGAUCGCUAUCCCUAUGUCGAGCUUUCUGCGACAAAAGUCGCAGGCUCGACAAAAAUCAAAA